rnacentral:rRNA from 1 species
AGUGAACGCUGGCGGUAGGCCUAACACAUGCAAGUCGAACGGCAGCACAGGAGAGCUUGCUCUCUGGGUGGCGAGUGGCGGACGGGUGAGGAAUACAUCGGAAUCUACUCUGUCGUGAGGGAUAACGUAGGGAAACUUACGCUAAUACCGCAUACGACCUACGGGUGAAAGCAGGGGACCUUCGGGCCUUGCGCGAUUGAAUGAGCCGAUGUCGGAUUAGCUAGUUGGCGGGGUAAAGGCCCACCAAGGCGACGAUCCGUAGCUGGUCUGAGAGGAUGAUCAGCCACACUGGAACUGAGACACGGUCCAGACUCCUACGGGAGGCAGCAGUGGGGAAUAUUGGACAAUGGGCGCAAGCCUGAUCCAGCCAUACCGCGUGGGUGAAGAAGGCCUUCGGGUUGUAGAGCCCUUUUGUUGGGAAAGAAAUCCAGCUGGCUAAUACCCGGUUGGGAUGACGGUACCCAAAGAAUAAGCACCGGCUAACUUCGUGCCAGCAGCCGCCGCGG